AUGAUGCAGUAGUGAAGGUGCAGCAACACAGGCAGCGUGGUGAACAUGAUGCAGUAGUGAAGGUGCAGCAACACAGGCAGCGUGGUGAACAUGAUGCAGUAGUGAAGGUGUAGCAGUACAGGCAGCGUGGUGAACAUGAUGCAGUAGUGAAGGUGCAGCAACACAGGCAGCGUGGUGAACAUGAUGCAGUAGUGAAGGUGCAGCAACACAGGCAGCGUGGUGAACAUGAUGCAGUAGUGAAGGUGCAGCAACACAGGCAGCGUGGUGAACAUGAUGCAGUAGUGAAGGUGCAGCAACACAGGCAGCGUGGUGAACAUGAUGCAGUAGUGAAGGUGCAGCAACACAGGCAGCGUGGUGUACAUGAUGCAGUAGUGAAGGUGUAGCAGUACAGGCAGCGUGGUGAACAUGAUGCAGUAGUGAAGGUGCAGCAACACAGGCAGCGUGGUGAACAUGAUGCAGUAGUGAAGGUGCAGCAACACAGGCAGCGUGGUGUACAUGAUGCAGUAGUGAAGGUGUAGCAGUACAGGCAGCGUGGUGAACAUGAUGCAGUAGUGAAGGUGCAGCAACACAGGCAGCGUGGUGUACAUGAUGCAGUAGUGAAGGUGUAGCAGUACAGGCAGCGUGGUGAACAUGAUGCAGUAGUGAAGGUGCAGCAACACAGGCAGCGUGGUGAACAUGAUGCAGUAGUGAAGGUGUAGCAGUACAGGCAGCGUGGUGAACAUGAUGCAGUAGUGAAGGUGCAGCAACACAGGCAGCGUGGUGACCAUGAUGCAGUAGUGAAGGUGUAGCAGUACAGGCAGCGUGGUGAACAUGAUGCAGUAGUGAAGGUGCAGCAACACAGGCAGCGUGGUGAACAUGAUGCAGUAGUGAAGGUGCAGCAACACAGGCAGCGUGGUGAACAUGAUGCAGUAGUGAAGGUGUAGCAGUACAGGCAGCGUGGUGAACAUGAUGCAGUAGUGAAGGUGCAGCAACACAGGCAGCGUGGUGAACAUGAUGCAGUAGUGAAGGUGCAGCAACACAGGCAGCGUGGUGAACAUGAUGCAGUAGUGAAGGUGAAGCAGUACAGGCAGCGUGGUGAACAUGAUGCAGUAGUGAAGGUGAAGCAACACAGGCAGCGUGGUGAACAUGAUGCAGUAGUGAAGGUGCAGCAACACAGGCAGCGUGGUGAACAUGAUGCAGUAGUGAAGGUGCAGCAACACAGGCAGCGUGGUGUACAUGAUGCAGUAGUGAAGGUGUAGCAGUACAGGCAGCGUGGUGAACAUGAUGCAGUAGUGAAGGUGCAGCAACACAGGCAGCGUGGUGUACAUGAUGCAGUAGUGAAGGUGUAGCAGUACAGGCAGCGUGGUGAACAUGAUGCAGUAGUGAAGGUGCAGCAACACAGGCAGCGUGGUGAACAUGAUGCAGUAGUGAAGGUGCAGCAACACAGGCAGCGUGGUGAACAUGAUGCAGUAGUGAAGGUGCAGCAACACAGGCAGCGUGGUGAACAUGAUGCAGUAGUGAAGGUGCAGCAA